rnacentral:rRNA from 1 species
CCUACGGGAGGCAGCAGUGGGGAAUAUUGCACAAUGGGGGAAACCCUGAUGCAGCGACGCCGCGUGAGUGAAGAAGUAUUUCGGUACGUAAAGCUCUAUCAGCAGGGAAGAAAAUGACGGUACCUGACUAAGAAGCACCGGCUAACUACGUGCCAGCAGCCGCGGUAAUACGUAGGGGGCAAGCGUUAUCCGGAUUUACUGGGUGUAAAGGGAGCGUAGACGGCAGCGCAAGUCUGGAGUGAAAUGCCAUGGCUUAACCAUGGAACGGCUUUGGAAACUGUGCAGCUAGAGUGCAGGAGAGGUAAGCGGAAUUCCUAGUGUAGCGGUGAAAUGCGUAGAUAUUAGGAGGAACACCAGUGGCGAAGGCGGCUUACUGGACUGUAACUGACGUUGAGGCUCGAAAGCGUGGGGAGCAAACAGGAUUAGAUACCCCAGUAGUC